rnacentral:lncRNA from 1 species
GCGUGUCUUGAUCAGAUGGUUUAUGUUAGUAAUUCAUGAAAUUUCUCAUAUAUUUUGAUGCACUGUGUAUUUUUUGUGUAUUUUUUGUUGGAAUAUAAGUGAAUUGCCCACCUCUUCCCAUCAGCUUAAGCUUUUGGGUUGAACUGGUUGGUGCAUGCAACUCAAUAUGGUAUCAGAGCCAAGUCUCGAGUUCGAAUCCUGGUUAGCGCAAUUAAAUAAAAUAAUUGUUGCUCGCUCCUAUUCCACGUUUGAGGCCUGAGGGAGCCUCCACGUGAGGGGGAGUGUUGGAAUAUAAGUGAAUUGCCCACCUCUUCCCAUCAGCUUAAGCUUUUGGGUUGAACUGGUGCAUGCAACUCAAUAUUUUUUCUAUUUUUGAUUAUUUGUGUUCUGUUUGUGUUGAGUUCAGGUUUGAGAUGUUUAUGUGUGGAAGUGAUGGCGCAUAAUCAGUGUUUUUGGGUGUUCCCCUUGGGAAGUCUGACUGGGAUGACUGAUGUUUUGAACCCUAUUCCUCCUUUUAAUGGAUGGAGAGAUUCAAUCCUCAUCUCUUUCCAAUAGAUGUAGUUACAUUUCAUUUGUUCUCAUUACUUUUUUCUAUUUUAAUUUUUAUUGUCUCUUUAUUUUCUUGAAAAAUAGUAUUUCUACCAAAAGCAUAUUGACUCUUUUUGUUGCUUCAGUUUCAUUUUUCCUGUCCAUCAGUGGCAUACAACUAGAGAUGACCGACUACAGACCGUGAUGUUCCUCUUUAACAUCUAGCAACUUAACCAAGCCAAAAUAAAAUUAUAAAGAUGCUUCAGUAGUCCUCACAAAAUGCCAGAUGUGGUGGCCCUGCUCUUUGUGUGUGUGUGUGUGUUUUGACCGCAUGCCCUACUCUUGUGUUUCAGAUACUAGCUUGAAUUUUGAUUUGAAUUUUCUUUUUCUUUUUUUGUUUCAGUUUUUUUUCUGUAGUAGCUCCAGGAUGUUGUCCUUUUUUCGUCAUUUUUAACGAGUACUAAGAGAGGCUACCCUUUCUUUUUGGGUCAGUGAACAGCAGGCACAUUUUUGAACCUCCAUAGUUUCUUUUCUAAAGAAAGUGGCUGCAGGACCAUUAAUUUCACUGUUCUGGAUAAGCAGUUAGGGUCUUGCAUCUUUUUAAGCUAUAUGAAGCAUUUGGGACGGUAUCACUCAGUGGUUCAUUAUUGAGUGGUACUGUAGUAGUAGUAGUUACUUGAGCCAUGGUUCAUGUGUACAAGUUUGGCCCUUCCAUGGAUUAGUCAGUUGAAAUUUCACCAUUGUAGACAUGUUAUACCUUUUGUUGUUUCCUUUCUGUUCUUAGGCUGUCCUUAAAAUGUUCCUUCUUUGCAUUAUA